ensembl:lncRNA
UGUCUUAAAAACUCUUUUUAUUGACUAAGACCAACGUUUUUUAGUAAAACAUGCAAUAUAUAUAUUUGAAAAAAGGAUCUCAACUUUAUUGCUCGUCGUCAUUUAGAGUAAUAGAUGAUCAGAUGCAUAAUAAUAAUAACAAUAACAAUAAUAAUAAUAAUCCUGUUCCACAGCAAUCUCAUCACAAGGAAACAACACGUCUAGACGGUUCCACGGGUUCUAGUUGUGGUAAAUAAAAUAAAAACACAGACCCAGUCCGGUCCACAUAGUAACAUCAAUAAUAGAAACCAACGCUUCUAUUCUGCCCAAACCCGGGUUUGUGACCUUUCACCCUUUUUCAUACCAGGAAGGACCCAACACUUCUAAUCUGCCCAAACCGUGGUUUGUGACCUUUCACCCUUUUUCAUAGCAGGAAGUUGUUUCUUAGACAAACACACACACACACACACACACACACACACACACACACACACACACACACACACACACACACACACACACACACACACACACACACACACACACACACACACACACACACUGAUUAAUUUGUAAAUCGGGAGGGUCCGGGGAACAUUUUCAGUAGCCUAGGGGUCAGGGAACAUUUUCAGUAGCCGAGGGUCUGGGAACAUUUUCAGUAGCCUUUUCAGUAGCCUAGGGUCUGGGAACAUUUUCAGUAGCCUAGGGUCUGGGAACCUUUUCAGUAGCCGAGGGUCUGGGAACAUUUUCAGUAGCCUAGGGUCUGGGAACAUUUUCAGUAGCCUAGGGUCUGGGAACCUUUUCAGUAGCCGAGGGUCUGGGAACAUUUUCAGUAGCCUAGGGUCUGGGAACCUUUUCAGUAGCCAAGGGUCUGGGAACAUUUUCAGUAGCCUAGGGUCUGGGAACCUUUUCAGUAGCCUAGGGUCUGGGAACAUUUUCAGUAGCCGAGGGUCCGGGAACAUUUUCAGUAGCCUAGGGUCAGGGAACAUUUUCAGUAGCCUAGGGUCCGGGAACAUUUUCAGUAGCCUAGGGUCCGGGAACAUUUUCAGUAGCCUAGGGUCCAGGGAAAUGUUGUCCCCGGCAACUUUUAAUCGUUUUAAAUUGCAAAAAAAGUAACAAUUAUUUUUCACACCACGAUACCACACACACACACACACACACACACACACACACACACACACACACACACACACACACACACACACACGUUAAAACACGUUAACACACACAUGCUAGGGCCAGAGUGAUGGUGUUUGGUCAGUAGUGUUGAAGAUCUAACCUCAGGCUGCCUCAUGGAUCCAUCCCCAUUGUUCCAUCCUCAUGGAUCCAUCAUCAUGGUUCCAUUCCCUUGGUACCACCCUCAUGGUUCCAUCAUCAUGGUUCCACCCUCAUGGUACCACCCUCAUGGAUCCACCCUCAUGGUUCCAUCCUCAUGGAUCCAUCAUCAUGGUUCCACCCUCAUGGUUCCAUCCUCAUGGAUCCAUCAUCAUGGUUCCACCCUCAUGGUUCCAUCCUCAUGGAUCCAUCAUCAUGGUUCCACCCUCAUGGUACCACCCUCAUGGUUCCAUCAUCAUGGUUCCACCCUCAUGGUUCCACCCUCAUGGUUCCAUCAUCAUGGUUCCAUCCUCAUGGUUCCACCCUCAUGGUUCCACCCUCAUGGUUCCAUCAACAUGGUUCCACCCUCAUGGUUCCAUCCUCAUGGUUCCACCCUCAUGGUUCCAUUCUCAUGGUUUCAUCCUCAUGGUUCUACCCUCAUGGUUCCAUUCCCAUGGUUCCAUUCCCAUGGUUCUACCCUCAUGGUUCCAUUCCCAGGUACCACCCUCAUGGUUCCAUUCUCAUGGUUCCAUUCCCAUGGUUCCACCCUCAUGGUUCCAUUCUCAUGGUUCCAUUCCCAUGGUUCCAUCCUCAUGGUUCCAUUCUCAUGGUUCCAUUAUCAUGGUUCCAUCCUCAUGGUUCCAUUCUCAUGGUUCCAUCCUCAUGUUAAGGAGACUGUGGAAAAGGCAAUAGAGAUGGUUCUGUGGUAAGGAGGUGCCAGUACUGUUGUUGUUGUUGUUGUUGGGAAGGGGGUGGAUAGACAACAACAUGACCACCGUGCGGAGGAGGAGCUUAUCAAUAUAUACAUCAAUAAAUAAAACAAAGCAUCAUCAAUAAUUUAAUAAGUUAAAGGGGCUCGUCUGUACAGUGUGUCAACAGGGGGUGUGAGGAGGAUGUUUGAGGAGGGUGUCUGUGUCUGUGUGUGUGUGUGUGUUCUGCCAGUGACAGUAUAACUAAUCCUCAGCAACCACAGAGCAGUCAGACAGAGAGCAGACAGACAGAGAGAAGCAUUAAGCCUAAUUUACAACUUCCUCUUCAAAUCCAACGUCCUCUCCAGUCCGUGUCCUCAUCGCUAACUGACUGGACACAUUCUGUUCUAAUGGACCUAGAGGAUGGUGUAGACUGGCUGACUGGCUGACUGACUGGCUGACUGACUGACUGGCUGACUGACUGGCUGACUGGCUGACUGGCUGACUGACUGACUGGCUGACUGGCUGACUGGCUGACUGACUGGCUGCCUGGCUGACUGGCUGACUGACUGGCUGACUGACUAGCUGACUGACUGACUAGCUGACUGUCUGUCUGACUGGAUGACUGGCUGACUGGCUGGCUGACUGACUGACUGACUGACUGACUUACUGACUGACUGACUGACUGGCUGACUGGCUGACUGGCUGACUGGCUGACUGGCUGAGUGACUGAGUGAGUGAGUGACUGAGUGAGUGAGUGACUGAGUGACUGAGUGGCUGAGUGACUGAGUGACUGAGUGACUGAGUGGCUGAGUGGCUGAGUGACUGAGUGAGUGACUGAGUGACUGAGUGAGUGACUGAGUGACUGAGUGAGUGACUGAGUGACUGAGUGAGUGACUGGCUGCAUAAAUACACUUCAAUUCAACAUCAACAUGAAUAUUAAAGGUAAUCUGUGAUGCAUCAACGUGGCUGAAACUAGCAGGGG